ACUAAAUGUACACAAGGAGGUCAAUAAAAGGAGUCAGUAGUUAUAAGUUAUAACUAUUACCAUACAUACAUAUUAGACAGAACAGCUAAAAGUUACUAACAGAAUACAAGGAAAAAAGAGCCUUGCAAAAAAAAAUACACAGUGGAGUGAGUAUUUUUAUAGGCUGCAGGUUGCAUGACCAGCUGCUUCCUCAGCCUAGUCUUUAAAAAAAAAUACACGGUGAAGUGAGUAUUUUUAUAGGCUGCAGGUUGCAUGACCAGCUGCUUCCUCAGCCUAGUCUUU
rnacentral:lncRNA from 1 species